UAUGAAGGUCAGGCUGAAGACCUUACCCGAUUAGCUGAGAGGUGGUGCAUGGCCGUCGUCAGUUCGUACUGUGAAGCAUCCUGUUAAGUCAGGCAACGAGCGAGACCCACGUCCACAGUUGCCAGCAUACCCUCCGGGGUGAUGGGUACACUGUGGAGACCGCCGUUGCUAAAGCGGAGGAAGGAGUGGGCAACGGUAGGUCAGUAUGCCCCGAAUCUCCCGGGCUACACGCGGGCUACAAUGGUUGGUACAAUGGGCAUCUACCCCGAAAGGGGAAGGAAAUCUCUUAAAGCCAAUCGUAGUUCGGAUUGAGGGCUGCAACUCGCCCUCAUGAAGCUGGAAUCCGUAGUAAUCGCGUUUCAACAGAACGCGGUGAAUACGUCCCUGCUCCUU
rnacentral:rRNA from 1 species